ensembl:lncRNA
ACGGGACUUUCUGCCUUGAUAUUCUGGGUUGUGUGGGAGGGCCCUGAGUCCACAUUGCCAUAUAUUCCGAUUUAAAACAGAUAUUGUAGGAUUUUCUUCCUUGAUAUUCUGGGUCAUAUGGCUGUAUGGAAGGGCCCUCAGUCAAAUAACCCAGUUCAAAGCAGACACUGUGGGGUUUUCUGCCUUGAUAUUCUGGGAUAUAGGGCUGUGUGGAAGGGGCCUGAAUAAAAUCGCACAGUAUCUGCUUUGAACUGGGUUAUCUGAAUCCACACUGCCAUAGAUUCCAGUUCAAAGUAGAAAAUGUGGGAUUUUUAUUCAGCUGUGGAAAGGCCCAGAGUGUGUUUAUGUGAGCAUGUCGAUGUGAGGUGAGAGGGAGAGGGCGCGCGCCCUGUCAGCGCACAGCAGCAGCAGCAGGCGAAUAACGGACUCAAAGGCGCGCGCGGCGUAUCUGCGAAGGGAGGCGGGGAAGAGAGAGAGAGAGAGGGGGGGGGGAACCUCGCGCGCUCGCUCGCUCCCGCCUACCCUCCCCUCGCGCCACUCCCCAACCCCAUCCCCCCCGCCUGUCUCUUUCUCGGACACGCGCUCGAGGCGGCGCAGCCUCGGGAACGCGCUUGUGCCUCUCCUUCUCGCCUCAGCUAGCGCUUGCUUCUUGGCUUCCCCUCACAUGCAGACACACACGCGCGCGCGCGCACGCACACACACAACAUACAGAAGCCGGCUGGCGUUGGCGCGAGAGCGAGCGGCUUCCAUCCUCGAAGAAGGAAGCCCAGGGGACACGGGGCGCGCUUCCUUCUCUCCUGGCUCUACGGCAUCCUCCCUGCAGCGCCUUCCUUGUGAGUCCCGCUCUCCCUCUCCCUCCUCCUCCUCAGUUCUUCCGUUGGGGCGUUUUGGUGUGGCACCUUGCGAGGUCCCGGCUUCCUAUGAGAUACAAUGACCUCUCAGAAAUCAAGUGAUUAAAAAGAGGAGGUGAGACUUGGGCUGUCCUGGCUUACUCUACUUGUACAAAGGUAAACCAUGUCCUCCACUAAGUUUUUUCAGCUCCUAGGAAAAAGCCAGUUUGAGAACUAUUAUUUCAUAGAUAUGUUGUAUUGGAAAAUAGAUGACCCUUUCAUUCAUAUUUAUUUUCAAGUGUUUAUUUGAGGGAAGCAGGUGCCAUUUAGCAUAAAAUAUUUGUGUUAACUGUGAAUUCAGGAUUGGAUACUGUGAUUGAUGGUCCUGUGUAUAUCAAGGUCACUAGUGGGCAGUAGGUGAAACAUUGCAUUUGGUGUCUUGACCAGCAAAAUACAAAAGUCACAAAAUUGCUCCCAUGCUUCAGAUUUAGGGAAGGAACAGGGCAUCUGCCUAUUAGCAUGUCAUUAGUGAACCACUUUUUAAUGAAAACUCAAAACAGACAAUUCCUGCUAGGCAGGAACUGCCUUGAUUUUCAUGACUUGUUUUUAUUGUUACUUAUCUGUUUUAUUGCUUUGUUCUAUUGUUGUGGACUGGGCUUGGCCCCAUGUAAGCCGCCCCGAGUCCCUUCGGGGAGAUGAGGCGGGGUAUAAAAAUAAAAUUAUUAUUAUAUUAUUAUAGUAAGGAAACACUAGAUGUUGUCUGGCAAGUAGGCCUGAGCUAUCUCUUUGUUAUGAUCUAAUUUUUUUGACAAUGAGAUUCAUUUUCAGAAACCCAUGCUUAUGAACUUGUCUACACAGAUAAAAACUAUUGUUCUCACCUCAUAGCUAUCUUGAACUUGACACGAGACUUGCAACCCCUUGAACAGUGAAAACACUUCUUUUAGGCUUUAAUACAAAGAACAAAACUCACUUCUUGCUCUGCAGUUUCAAGGAAAAUCUUAUUUGUUGCUAUGUUUUGCUAUGUGUGUACAAUCUAGAAUGAGCUUUUUUCAACGAGGCUGGGGGACACACGCAGAUUGCUGAGUUGUAAAUCUGGUCAUUUUAUGUAUAUUCACUGCUACUUGAUGGGCUAUAUGCUUUCUAAUAUUGAUGUUUCUUUUAUUUUUGCACUGGCAAGUGGGAGAUUGGAAGGGAGACUCUUGCCUCUUCUUUUCUGCUUUGGUCCACUGACACUGUUGUCUUCCCAGCCAAAAAAGCUUCCUGACUGAGCCCCACUGGUGAAGUGUCUUACUCACAAGAGGUGCCCAACAAUGAGAUCAACAAUGUGGAUGUUGAUUGAGUUGCCUCAUUCUGAUGUACCAGCAAGCAACUCUUCCAACGGGACUCUGCCAAGAAGAUGUUUAACUGGUUAGGCAUCAAAAGGCCAAUCACUUAGGGAGAGAAGGAGAAAUAUAAAGGGCACUGAUUUAAAUUUGAGGCGUGGACAGCAAUACAAUAUCAGUGCAGCAGAUUACAGAUAGGUCUGACAUUUAGGGGGUGAAUCCAGGACAAAUCCAGAAUUGAAUAAUCUGAAUUAUAGCUGGAUUAUUUUCAUGGUGUAGACAAGGCCUAUGUGGCUGCUAGUUCAUUUGAUCCCCUGCAUCUAGCAGGCAGAAAGUGAAGCAGGUUACAUGCUUGCAAUGAACUACUUUACAUGGAGUCUCCAAGCAAGAAAGCAAUAGGAUUUACUGCGGGUAAGAAAGUGCAAAGCAACCCAGAAACAUAAGAAUAUUCUGAAAUAAGUGACAUGUGAAAAUUUGUGAGUUUAAAUAAAAUAGGGGUAAAUCCCCUUUCCUGUAUCAUUUCAUCAAUGAGAUUAUAUUAUCAUACACACUUUAGAGUUACUAGCCAGAUGGAGAACAUUCUUUGAUAUUUCUUUGUUUAUAUCUUUACGUUUUACCCUUGAUUAUAGAAACAAAGAUAACCUUUACUAGUCUAUAGGGUAAAGGUAAAGGUUUCCCCUGACGUUAAGUCCAGUCAUGACUGACUCUGGGGGUUGGUUCUCAUCUCCAUUUCCAAGCCGAAGAGCCGGCGUUGUCUGUAGAUACCUCCAAGGUCAUGUGGCUGGCAUGACUGCAUGGAGCACCGUUACUAGUCUAUACUUCUUUUUUUCCUUUUCAUAUAUGAUUUGUGAGCAUUAAAAUCUUCCUUUGUUAUCUUGAAUAUAUAGUAGUGCUUCAUCAUUCUUUAAACAGUUUCCUUUGGCUUGUUUAGCAAAUGUGGGUGACUAUGCAUAAUUCAACUUGUGCUUCAAAAUAUGGGCUUUGAGUUUAUUUUCCCCACUUUAAAAAGAGGAACCUUUCAACAUGAUAGAUUGCUAAUGGUCAAAAUAUGGUUAAAAUUAUCGUUGUAUUUACUAUAGUGAUAGCUAUAAGUUAUUGACAGUUGGAAAGAUGAUGCAACAUGACAAUAAUUCCUAUUCCAAUAUUUGUCAUACUCUGUAAUAUUGUUUAACUACGCUGGAUACACUGUUAUCUUCUGUUAACAAAAGGCUGCAGACCAUAAACUUCAGAAUAGAAAUGUGAAUAACUGAAAUCAUUGAGCCUGAAAUUACUUCAGUGUUUACAUUCCUAGCCACAAAGUCCUGUGCACACGUAGAAACUAUAAUAUGUGUGUGGAACAACUCCUCCUCCUCCUCCUCUUUCUUCUUAAUCUUUUGUGUUUAAUGCCAUUCUGCUAUCAUACUAACAUACAGUUGGUAGCAAAAGAAUUAAAAAGCACACAAUCAUGAAACAGGUAUGGAACAUUAUUAAAAGAUUAUUAUUAUUAAUUCCUACUUUCCCUCUGUUUUGAUAAGAGACUUUCAAAAUACAUUAGUGUCAUUUUUUUUAUAUAUAUAUAUAGAAAUAUAUAACCUACUU